rnacentral:hammerhead_ribozyme from 1 species
AUCCAGCUGACGAGUCACAAAUAGGACGAAACGCUUGUCCUGUAU